rnacentral:rRNA from 1 species
GAUGAACGCUGGCGGUAUGCCUAACACAUGCAAGUCGAACGAACCUUCGGGCUAGUGGCGGACGGGUGAGUAACGCGUGAGAACCUGCCUCCAGGCUGGGGACAACAGUUGGAAACGACUGCUAAUACCCAAUGUGCCUAGCGGUGAAAGAUUUAUCACCUGAAGAGGGGCUCGCGUCCGAUUAGCUAGUUGGUGGGGAAAGAGCCUACCAAGGCGUCGAUCGGCAGCUGGUCUGAGAGGAUGAGCAGCCACACUGGGACUGAGACACGGCCCAGACUCCUACGGGAGGCAGCAGUGGGGAAUUUUCCGCAAUGGGCGAAAGCCUGACGGAGCAAUACCGCGUGAGGGAGGAAGGCUUUUGGGUUGUAAACCUCUUUUCUUAGGGAAGAGCUCUGACGGUACCUAAGGAAUCAGCAUCGGCUAACUCCGUGCCAGGCCGCCGCGGUAAU